AGUCACUGACAUUAGAUACCCCCGUAGUCCAGGGUGUAAACGCUGCAGACUUGGUGUUGGAAAUCCUUCGAGGGUAUUCAGUGCCGGAGAGAAGUUGUUAAGUCUGCUACUUGGGGAGUACGUCCGCAAGGAUGAAACUUAAAGGAAUUGGCGGGGAGCACCGCAACGGGAGGAGCGUGCGGUUUAAUUGGAUUCAACACCGUAAAACUCACCAGGGAAGACUGUUACAUGAAGGCCGAGAUGAAGACUCUGCUAGAUUUUCAG
rnacentral:rRNA from 1 species